UACGGGGCGCAGCAGGCGCGAAACCUUCGCAAUGCGCGAAAGCGUGACGAGGUUAAUCCGAGUGACUCCCGCUGAGGGGGUCUUUUGUCAGCUGUAAAUAGGCAGGCGAAUAAGGGGAGGGCAAGCCUGGUGUCAGCCGCCGCGGUAAUACCAGCUCCUCGAGUGGUCGGGGCGAUUAUUGGGCCUAAAGCAUCCGUAGCCGGUUCCGUAGGUCCUCUGUUAAAUCCAACCGCUUAACGGUUGACCUGCAGAGGAUACCGCGGGACUAGGAGGCGGGAGAGGCGGACGGUACUCCGCGUGUAGGGGUAAAAUCCUUUGAUCCGCGGAAGACCACCAGUGGCGAAGGCGGUCCGCCAGAACGCGCUCGACGGUGAGGGAUGAAAGCUGGGGGAGCGAACCGGAUUAGAUACCCGGGUAGUCCCAGCCGUAAACGAUGCUAGCUCGAGGAAUCAUCGGCAAGUC
rnacentral:rRNA from 1 species